GAUACUUAUUGCGUGCAUAGGGUCGGUUGCUCAUACUACAUUUCUGCACCUUGCAUGCAUAUUUUGGAGCUGAGCAAUUGUGGAGGACGAAGCCUUGCAUUGGAGAUGCCAGCAUUCCAGAUUCUAGCUACCUUUGUUAAUGAUAGUUUAGAAUUUCAUUUCUGUUUAUGAAAACUUCAAACAGAUAUUGUAUUUAUUUCUCACAUCAAUUUUGUAAAUCCAAAUCAUAGUAGCUCACAGUCCAUGGGUUAGUCGUAGUGAAUUCUUUAGUGGUUUUACUUAUAAUAUUGAUGAUUUCUCCUCGUAAUAGUAACUUAUACUGUUUGGCAUACCUAGCGGAUUAGGUUAGGUGCCAUCACGACUUGGUGAGGUUUUGGGUCGUGACAAGGAGGGAGUCAAUCCGAAGGGAAAAGCACAAAACUAACUACUUUUGGUUUGAUCUCUUCCAUUUUCUACUUACGGUUACUUUGGGAUUGACCAUGGAGCAGAAUAGGAUAUUCUUUUAUGUCCAAAAGGCAAUCCACAUGAUACGUUUAGAAUCCACAACUUAUCUUUUUAG
rnacentral:lncRNA from 1 species